CGGUUAGAACCCACGACGGGCAUGCAGAUGUGCGGAAUGACGGCGUACCGCGGGACCGCUCCUAUCCAGCGCCCGCUUGGCAAAGAGUAACUCAUUUUGAUGCCUCUCGCUACCCCUGGCCCUAGCUUUGAAGGAAUCAUGCGACACACUCGCACUCCACUACCCCAUCGCAUGGAAAAACGCUCCCACCAUCGAGGUGUUGACCAAAAUUUCGCUGUGUGCAUGAGACACACACUCGCACUCCUCCAGUCCUUCAUAGCCGAUCGCUCCCACCGUUGCGAAGAUGGGAGAAUUUUUACUCUGAGCGUGAGAUCCUGAAGCGCAAGAGAUGACACUAUGUGUGAAAGACAGUCAUAAUUCGAUAUGGUCAAAAUGCGUCGAUUAUCGUUUUAUUUAUCUGGUAAUGAUGUUUUUACUUCAUCAAAAAUUUAAACGUUAACAACUAGGUUGAUAACAAUAUAUGAAAUGUGAAUCAGAAAAAAUAAAUUUAUUGGAAGCAAAAUAAAUUCCAUUAUAGGCCGCGGGGCCAUGGGGAUUCUCAACGCUCAUUUUCUCAAGCACUCAUGAGUGCUUUUGAGAAAUCCUCGUUCUCAGCGUUUGUCGAAUCGGAACAAAAUCGGUUUUGAGAAUCUUUGAGAAUCUUUGAGAAAGUUGACGAUGCAGCGAUCGGCUAACUAAAAUAUGGAAAAUUGUGCUAUUUGUUUAUCGGAAAUCACUUUGGAAAAUGUAUUCAAUGUUUAUAAUUGAAAACGUUAAAAAAAUAUGCGAUUAAAAACUGUUUUUCUAUUUAAAGCUCUAAAUAAAGCUUGAGUGUCUAUAUCAGUCUCUCAGGGUGAGAAAAAACUGACGACGGCCACGGGCUUGAGUCUGAGAACAAGUUUUGAGUGCUUGAGAAACUUAAAUGAGUGCUUGAGAACGUUUUCUCAGCUUGAGAAAGCCCCGUGGCCCCGCGGCCAUACUUUAUUAUGACCUUAUGAUCAACACUGCAACAUAGUGCCAUUUACUUUGUGUUCUUCGCUCUCGCGCUGUGUUGUGAACGUAAGAAACUCAUUGCCAGAACAAAUGCAAAUUUCAUUUGGGAAGGAUUGGUGCCGGUAGAUGCAGCGAAAAUUAUGAAAUGUUAAUAGAAAAGUGGUUAAGUAAAUCGUGAAAGAUGUCAACGCAGGCGUAAAUGCAGUAUGUUUUGUUACAUGAUCUACGGCUAUUUCAUUACCAAAACUCCUGAUAACAGAUCAGAGCAGGUGAAUCGGGCUUACAGAGUCGCCGUUUAACUUAAAAUAUCUUCGUGAUCGGUAAGUUUUAAAUAGUCCUAGUUUUGUUCACCAUUCUAAUGCUCGAUUUAUCUUUCAUUCCUUAGGAAAACGCAUCAAACAGCAAGUGUUUUUCUUCCAACAGCACGCGCCAUCGGUGGAGCAAGCAGCUAACGUUUUGUUCGCCCAGCGCGCACCAUCAAGAAUUGAAAUAUUCCCGAAUAGCUUUGUGAAUAAAAAACUGCACAUUUACUGUCGGAA